AGCUCAGCGGCAGAGCGUGUGCCUCGCAGGCACGAGGCCCUGGGUUCCACCCCCAG
rnacentral:tRNA from 1 species